rnacentral:rRNA from 1 species
GACGAACGCUGGCGGCAUGCCUAACACAUGCAAGUCGAACGAGAUCUUCGGGUCUAGUGGCGCACGGGUGCGUAACGCGUGGGAAUCUGCCCUUUGGUUCGGAAUAACAGUUGGAAACGACUGCUAAUACCGGAUGAUGACGAAAGUCCAAAGAUUUAUCGCCAGAGGAUGAGCCCGCGUAGGAUUAGCUAGUUGGGGUGGAAAAGGCGCACCAAGGCGACGAUCCUUAGCUGGUCUGAGAGGAUGAUCAGCCACACUGGGACUGAGCCACGGCCCAGACUCCUACGGGAGGCAGCAGUGGGGAAGAUUGGACAGUGGGCGAAAGCCUGAUCAAGCAAUGCCGCGUGAGUGAUGAAGGCCUUAGGGUUGUAAAGCUCUUUUACCCGGGAUGAUAAUGACAGUACCGGGAGAAUAAGCUCCGGCUAACUCCGUGCCAGCCGCCGCCGUAA